UCAUAUUUGGAAAUUCAAUGGGAAUCCGUCUGAUUUUCUUCAUCACCCAGAUCAUGAGCAUUUCACCACAAAAGAAAUAUAUGA
rnacentral:snoRNA from 2 species